rnacentral:rRNA from 1 species
UACAGAGGGUGCGAGCGUUAAUCGGAAUUACUGGGCGUAAAGCGUGCGUAGACGGUUACAUAAGUCGGGUGUGAAAGCCCCGGGCUCAACCUGGGAAUUGCAUUCGAGACUGCGUAGCUAGGGUGCGGAAGAGGGAAGCGGAAUUUCCGGUGUAGCGGUGGAAAUGCGUAGAUAUCGGAAGGAAGACCAGUGGCGAAGGCGGGUCUCUGGACAGUUCCGUGACGCUGAGGCACGAAGGCCAGGGGAGCAAACGGG